GCGCGUAGGAGGGAGCCCGGCAAAAGAAUUCCCCACUCGGCACAUUUCCCGGCCGGCGGCCCGGAGGGAGCCCCGUAUAUAAGGGGAGCGCUGGGGCCGCCGGCGGCCGCGGCCGGCCCGCGGGCAGGGAACCGGGCGGCUGCCGGGACGGGCACCCACCGGCUGCCGGGGACCCGGCCGAGCCGAGCGGGGGCUCCCUGCCUUUCGGGGGGCCGGGGGAGCGAGGGCAGGGGAGGGCCGGCUCCGGCUCUGGCGGGGCUUUAAAGCAGGUCCGGAGCCCCCCGGGGAGCCCCCCUUCUUCCCAAGGCUGGGCCCAGACUGUGGCUGUUCCCCAGCCGGGUCCGGCAGCGAGCUGCGUGUCCCGGCGGGGCUUCCCAGGGACUGCUGCUCCUCGGCCUCCAUGCAGCGACAGCCCCGGGAGCCUGCAGCCCCGGCCCCGCUCCCCGGCGGCUCUGCUCCCUCCGGAGGGGCCGUCGGGCCGGGGACAGCGGGAGACGGACGGAAAAGGAAAUUUAGAGAACUCACCACACUUAUGUUUUUUCUUGAAUUUUGACUUUAACAGUGUGUGUAGGAUCUUCAGGUUCCUUGGGAUAAUCCUUGGGCACGGACCUGCAACAAAAUUGAGAACUCUCAGCGGAAGCUGGUUUGUUUUGGACUUUCUUCCUUAGGACUUUGUUAAUAAAUGCACGUCUUGUCCGCAGCCCCUCACCGUGUCUCUAAGUCCACGUCAGAUCUUUUAGCAGACAAAGGGCAGACGCUUCUCUUCAUUUAUUAAUAACGCUUUGGGAGAGGCGGGGAGCGAAGAAAAGAGCAAAAUACCCCCGGAGAGCCGCCGCCUCCACCGCAGCGAGGCCGAGGGGAGCCGGCGGGGUCCGAGCCGGGGCCCCAGCGCCCAGGAGCCGCGGGCAGCCCCCGCUCGGUGGAGGGCUCCGCUCCUGCGGGGCUGGCGCGGGUCCUUCUCCACCCCCCCCGGCUCCCCAUCCACCGGCUGAGACUGAGAGAAAGAGAAGCGAAGAGACCCCGACUCUGAAAAUACACCGCAAACGUUUGUGGCUCGAAACGCGCAUUUUGCAUCUGAUCGUGUAAUGUGUCGAGUCAGGACUUUAAGAACUUAAGAGUGCCAGAAAAUCCCCCACAAAGAAGCCCAGGUCAUUAUAAAGACGAUAUCUAGCAGCCAUAAGCCUUUGAAAUGACCUUUGGCUUGUAUAGCAAUAACUCACCACUUAAUGAACAACCAACGGAAGCGCCUCCAAUAGCUCACAACACAACAGACAUUACAACUUUCCACCAAGUCUUCUCUCUCCCUACCCAAACCCAGUAGGAUGCGGCAUUCCCCUUCCAAAUCACCUUAAUUUAUGCUGGCAAACUGGAGUUAGGGAAGUGGAGCUUCAUGAUUACACACGGUGCUCGCUCAGAGAUCAUUAGAAAUAGCACUUUACGGCGUGCAGGAAGAAAAGAAAGCGUAAGUUGGGUUGCACCUUAGCCCCUGAGCGGAGAGAGUGUAACACUGCACACCAAGUCAUUGUUACCCGCUGUUGCUAAACGUGGUAAGUUUUCGUCUUGCGUCUAAUUAAUUAUCGACUUCUCUUCCCUUUUCGAAGCAGCCUCACAAGCAAUAGCCUCCUUGCUCUGGACAUGCUUUACUUGGCGACAGGUUGGGCAAAUACAUAGAUUUCCACGGCCAGAAGGAGAACCUGCAAAGUUUGCGCUGCGAAGAGGGGAGUCUCGGGCUCGCCGGGCUUGAGCUCUGCUCCAACCGAGCCGACUGCGGAGAAGAAGUUGCCAGAGCUCAAACCAGGGAAAUCUUUAGAAUUAUUCAGGCGUGGGCCCAAUAAAGGUAUUAUUGAAAUUUUAGGUGAAGUUAUAAGUGAGUGCUUCCAUCGAGCCAAAUGAAAUGCUGCUUGCAGUAAUUGGAUUCAGCUGACUAACUUGGCAGGCCAGCAGCUUGGAGGCAUACAGCUAAGAAAAAUGUUCACUGCCUUUAACUUCUGAUCGAGCAGAGCAAGACGCAACAGAGAAAAAAAAAAAAAAAAAGAGAGAGAGAGAGAGGAGAAAGACCCCCCCCAACUUUGUCCCCUGGCCCCAUCGCCCUGCUGCGGCUGCCCCCGAGGAGGACUCGCCCGGGUGGCUCGGGGCGGGUGGGACCUGGCGCAGCCUGACCCCCGCCGCUGCUCGCCGCCACAAAGCGAGCUUUUCCAGGGGUUUCCCCCAAAACACACUGCCCGAGAGCUCGGCCGGGCUUCGGGAAGGCCCCGGGGUAGAGACGGCCGCUCCUGGGAGCCGAAAGCAGCCCAGGAGGGAGCUGAGCCGCGGGUGCACGCGAGGAGGCUGCGGGGCCCUUUGCAGCGGCUGCAGCCCCGCGGCCGCCCCAGGUCAGCCUCGGGCACCCUUCUGGCACCGCAUUGAUCACACCGCCCCAGCGCACGGCCACGAACUUCUCGGGAGACAAAUAUCACAGCGAGCCUCCCCAGCCCGUGCGGCUCGGAGGCGUGAGAGCAGUGGCAACGGCGGCACCACCACACCGGAGGAGGAGAGCAGCGGCCCCGAGGAGCACGGAGAGGGGAGAAGGCACGAGAAGGCGCUCGGCAUGAGUAUUUAAGACACCAAACGUAGAGGCUCCAUUACCUAUGAGCCUAUUUCAAAUCGCACUGUGCAAAUCCACACGGCUACCCCCUGCCCGGCUACCCACGGCAACGAAUUAAUGGGAUGCUCAAUCUUACUUUGGCGAUGGGAGCGUCCAGCAAAGUUGUCUCCCCCUCUUUUUUUUUUUAUUUAUUUAAUUUUUUGGUUAUUUGUAAUUCCCUUCCUGAAACUACGGAAAAUGGGGAUAGGAGAGAGAUAAACCUUUUCUCCUAGCCUUUGGGAAGGAGUUCGCUUUUUAUUCAAACGGCAUAAUAAAAAGGAGAUACAGCUUAAAACGCACAAGGAGGUGGAGAUUACUUCAUGCAUUUGCAGCCGUCGUGGGCAGAGAUUACAAACAAAUUCCAGACAGUCCCUGAGUAAAGGCGAUAAUGCAGCCCCUGUGGUUAAAGGUCCCAUUUUGUCAUGCAGUUGCUUACCUGUGUGUCAAUUUAUCAUAAACCUGGGCUCCUCACUUUUCAGGAUCUGUGCUUGCAGCUCUUAGAAUAUAUCCUUCACCCUUUGUCUGCAGACAAUACUGUCCUAAACCUGAUCUUGCGGUUUUACAGACAUUUCCACACACCAUAAUUCCCGAUAGAACGAAAACAGGCACAGGCUCAACUACCAAUAAAA